ACCAACUAAAUUCAAAAAUAAAGGAAUCCUAAAACAUUGAUAGUCAUGAUUCUGACCAGAUAAACAAUGUGUUAAUUCAAUUUGACAAUCCUACUUCAUCAACUAGUGAUACUGUUUUAUUAGAUGUCUCCCAAAGAAAAAUGUGCCAACCUUUAAUUGAUCACUGUUUUAAUUAUGUAUCAUAAAUGAAAGCAGGAGAAAUGAAAAAUUCAGAAAUAACUGAUGCAUUAGUUUAUUAUAUUUGCAAGGAUAAUG